GGGUUGUGAGGUUAAGCGACUAAGCGUACACGGUGGAUGCCCUGGCAGUCAGAGGCGAUGAAGGACGUGCUAAUCUGCGAUAAGCGUCGGUAAGGUGAUAUGAACCGUUAUAACCGGCGAUUUCCGAAUGGGGAAACCCAGUGUGAUUCGUCACACUAUCAUUAACUGAAUCCAUAGGUUAAUGAGGCGAACCGGGGGAACUGAAACAUCUAAGUACCCCGAGGAAAAGAAAUCAACCGAGAUUCCCCCAGUAGCGGCGAGCGAACGGGGAGGAGCCCAGAGCCUGAAUCAGUGUGUGUGUUAGUGGAAGCGUCUGGAAAG
rnacentral:rRNA from 1 species